AUAUUUUUUUUAUCUGCUAAUGGUCCUCACUCUCUCUUACUUUACCAUUUCUCACUCCUUCAAUGGUCCUUACUCCCUCACUUACCACUCUACUUUUCAAUAAAAUAAUAAUAGUUUUAUUAUUUUUUCUUAUAAAUUUUUAUUACCUAAUUUACCCCAUUAAAACUCUGUGCAGUCUCCAAUCUAGCUUUAAAAAAAAAAUGUCACUAUUAAUCCCAACUUUGCUCCGUCCGCCACUUUUAAUCCCAAUAAUUUGCCCAAAUUAAUUAAUUAAAGGCGGCUUAAAGGAAUUGAAAGCGCACUCCUUAAUAUCACUUUCACGUUCUUUUGUCACUUUCACUUUACUAAACCUUAAAAAAAAAAAUCAAAGUACUGCUUGUUUAUUGCUUCAAUUCGUGAAACCUCCACCGCUGUAAUAAUUAACCUUCAGCCGCUGACUCACCGCUCCACCGCCGCACCACCGAUCGCCGCACAACUUCUGAGCACUGCACCACUCCGCUGAGAAAACUUUCCUAAUUCAUGUUCAAGAUGGUAAUCAUUAGAAGUACAUUGCAAUAACAGUCAGAGUUUACAGCUAUCUGCUGUGUCGACUAGUGAUAUUCAGAGGCCACCUGAGCUUUCUUUCAACAGGUUGCAGUCUUGUGACAAGGAGUGUGAUGGAUUACAUAGGCAUAAAUUUGAAAGCUUUAUACUGCUGUCUUGUACUGGGGUAGGAGAGGUGAUGGUCUAUGGUCUAUAUAAUAAAAACUUGUAUAUGUAUAAAUACAAUAGCUUAACAACUUUUGUAAUUGAUUUUGUAAUCACUCUAAUCCAACCAAUUCAACUAUUAGUUUGAAGGAA